rnacentral:rRNA from 1 species
AACCUGAUCGCCCAUGCUACUAACUUUUAUAAAGAGCUUUUCGGCCCAGCUCAAGGCAACCAAUUCCAUUUGCACCCUAAUACUUGGGCUGAUGAUAAAAAGUUGAGCGAGGAUGAUAAUAGAGACCUCUGUCGCGAAUUCACGGAGACUGAAGUUAGAGAUGCUCUUUUAUCUAUGGCCACCAAUAGGGCACCUGGACCGGAUAAUAUUCCUAUUGAAUUUUAUCAAAUAUGCUGGGAUAUAGUAAAGGAAGAUAUCAUGUCCCUUUUUAGACACUUCCAUAAUGGGAUGCUUGAUGUUCAACGUCUUAAUUAUGGAGUGAUCACUUUACUUCCAAAAGUGUCGGGAGCUGACAAAAUCCAACAGUUCAGGCCAAUCUGUCUCUUGAGGUGCCCAUAUAAGCUCAUUACAAAAGUAAUGGACCGUAGGGUGGAGGUGUAUGCUGAUAAGUUGAUUAGUUCUACCCAGAAUGCGUUUGUUAAGGCUAGGAACAUUAUGGAUGGGGUGCUCUCUUUACAUGAAAUUUUGAACUACACUCACGUUAAAAAAGAGUUGGCAUAG